GCGCCCAUAGCUCAGUUGGAUCAGAGUGCAUGGCUACGAACCAUGAGGUCGGGAGUUCGAGUCUCUCUGGGCGUACCA
rnacentral:tRNA from 1 species